rnacentral:rRNA from 1 species
CGGGUGGCUGCAGCAAGGAAUAUUGGGCAAUGGGCGAAAGCCUGACCCAGCGACACCGCGUGGGGGAAGAAGGCCUUCGGGUUGUAAACCCCUUUUCCCAGGGAAGAAUAAUGACGGUACUUGGGGAAUAAGCCUCGGCUAACUACGUGCCAGCAGCCGCGGUAAUACGUAGGAGGCUAGCGUUAUCCGGAUUUACUGGGCGUAAAGAGGGCGUAGGCGGCUUUUCAAGUCGGAUGUAAAAUCUCCCGGCUUAACUGGGAGGGCCCAUUCGAUACUGUUGGGCUAGAGUGCAGCAGAGGGAGGUGGAAUUCCCGGUGUAGUGGUGAAAUGCGUAGAUAUCGGGAAGAACACCAGUGGCGAAGGCGGCCUCCUGGGCUGUUACUGACGCUGAGGCCCGAAGGCGUGGGGAGCAAACAGGAUUAGAUACCCCAGUAGUC